rnacentral:rRNA from 1 species
AGUGAACGCUGGCGGUAGGCCUAACACAUGCAAGUCGAACGGCAGCACAGUAAGCGCUUGCUCUUACGGGUGGCGAGUGGCGGACGGGUGAGGAAUACAUCGGAAUCUACUUUUUCGUGGGGGAUAACGUAGGGAAACUUACGCUAAUACCGCAUACGACCUACGGGUGAAAGCAGGGGAUCUUCGGACCUUGCGCGAUUGAAUGAGCCGAUGUCGGAUUAGCUAGUUGGCGGGGUAAAGGACCACCAAGGCGACGAUCCGUAGCUGGUCUGAGAGGAUGAUCAGCCACACUGGAACUGAGACACGGUCCAGACUCCUACGGGAGGCAGCAGUGGGGAAUAUUGGACAAUGGGCGCAAGCCUGAUCCAGCCAUACCGCGUGAGUGAAGAAGGCCUUCGGGUUGUAAAGCCCUUUUGUUGGGAAAGAAAAGCAGCAGGUUAAUACCCCGCUGUUCUGACGGUACCCAAAGAAUAAGCACCGGCUAACUUCGUG